rnacentral:rRNA from 1 species
AAAGCGGAGGAAAAGAAACCAACAGGGAUUGCCUCAGUAGCGGCGAGUGAAGCGGCAAAAGCUCCAUUUUGAAAGCUCUUCGGAGCGUUGUAGAUUGGUGGGAAGCUAACGGCUGGUGGGAGACCAAGUCCUCUGGAACGAGGCGCCAUAGAGGGUGAGAGCCCCGUGUGUCUCCUUUACCGACCUUUCAGCCCCCUCCGCGGAGUCGAGUUGUUUGGGAAUGCAGCUCUAAGUGGGUGGUAAAUUCCAUCUAAGGCUAAAUAUUGGCGAGAGACCGAUAGCGAACAAGUACAGUGAUGGAAAGAUGAAAAGCACUUUGAAAAGAGAGUGAAACAGUACGUGAAAUUGUUGAAAGGGAAGGGUAUUUGGCCCGACAUGGGUCCUAUGCACCGUUGCCUCUCGUGGGCGGCGCUCUGCUUGGGCCUGGGCCAGCGUCAGUUUGGAGGGGGCGAGAAGGGUUUUGGGGAGUUGCCUAGCAAUUCCCCUUUGCUAGAUUGCCCCACACCGGACUGAGGACCGCCAUCUGUAGGAUGCUGCACAUCCACA